rnacentral:rRNA from 1 species
UCCGGAGGGCGCAAUCGUUGUUCGGAAUCACUGGGCGUAAAGCGCGUGCAGGCGGCUUGGCAAGUCGGGUGUGAAAGCCCGGGGCCCAACCCCGGAACGGCAUCCGAAACUGCCUCGCUCGAGUCCCGGAGAGGGUGGCGGAAUUUCCGGUGUAGAGGUGAAAUUCGUAGAUAUCGGAAGGAACACCAGUGGCGAAGGCGGCCACCUGGACGGUGACUGACGCUGAGACGCGAAAGCGUGGGGAGCAAACAGG